CCCGGCCCUGGCCCUCAGGCAGCGGUCCCCGAGGAGGCGGCGGCCAUCCCACUGGAUGGUUCCGGCGACCUGUGCCUGAGGACUGGGGCCCGAGGGCGACGUGGGAGCAGGGGCAAGCGGGCCGCUGCACCGCGGCGCAUGUGGAAUCUUAGUUUCCUGACCAGCGAUCGAACCCACACCCCCUGCAGUGGAAGAGCAGAGUCUUAACCACUGGACCGCCAGGGAAGUCCUACUCUUACUAUUUGAUCCAGCAACUGUAUUGCUUGGUAUUUACCCCAAAAGUUGAAAACUUAUAUUCACACAAAAAGCUGAACACGGAUGUUUACAGCACCUUUAUUCAUAAAUGCCAAAACUUGAAAGCAACCAAGAUAUCCUUUACUAGGUGAAUGGAUAAAUAAAGUGUGGUACACCCAGACAAGGGAAUAUUAUUCACUGCUAAAAAGAAAUGUGCUAUCAAGCCACGAAAAGACAUGGAGGAAUCUUAAAUACAUGUUACUAAGUGAAAGAAGCUGAUCUGAAAAUGCUACAUAUUGUAUGAUUCCAACUGUGUGGCAUGCUGGAAAAGCCAAAACUAUGGAAACAGUAAAAAGAUCAGUGGUUUCCGGGGGUUGGGUGUUUGGAGAGAUGAAUAGACAGAGCAGAGGAUUGUUAGGGAAGUGAAAAUACUCUGUAUGACACUAAAAUGAUGGAUGUAUAUUAUUAUAUAUUUGUCCAAACUCAUAGAAUGUGCAACAUCAAGAGUUAACCAUAAGGUAAACUAUGGGUUUUGGGUGGUUGUGAUGUGUUGGUGUAGGUUUAUCAAUUGCAACAAAUGUACCACUCAAGUAAGGGAUGUUGACAACGGGGGAGACUAUGCAUGUGUAAGGGGCAAGGAGUAUGUGAGAAAUCUCUGUCCCUCCCUCUCAGCUUUUCUGUGAAUCUAAAACUGCUCUAAAGAAAUAAAGAUUUUUCUAAAAAUUAACAAAAUAAA